rnacentral:snRNA from 1 species
AGCUUUGCACAGUGGCAGUAUCGUAGCCAGUGAGCUUUACCCGAGGGGCGAAUAUUACUAAUUAAAUGUUUAUAAAAAGCUUUCAAGCAGCACCUGAACAAGAAUAGGUUUAGAGGAGCUCUGGUAGUCUGAGUUUGGG